AGAGAGAGAGAGAGAGAGAGAGAGAGAGAGAGAGAUGAUGCAGAGUUAAGGAGGCAGAGCCCAGCUGCACACCUUGCCCGGCCAAAGCUGCAGAAAGCUCCUGCACCCUCAGCCCUGUCGGUACCAGGUAGAGGUCAGAGCAGAACAAAAGGGAAAAAGAGAAAAACCCCGCGGGUCACCUUGAGAAGCAGGCAAGACCAACUCACUUGUCACUCCUACCUCCUCCAGAACCUUACAUCAAGGAUGUAUGGCUAGAAGACCCCAUAUCCACAAUGGGUCCCACGUAGCCCAGGCUGCCAGCAAGCUUAACUGUAGCUAAAGAUGACCUGAAACUUCUGACCCUCCUGCCUGGAUUAAAGUCCUGUGUAGGGCUGGAGCGUGCUGUGACGAGGACAGAAGAUUGACCCCCCUCCCCCCUCCCCCCUGCUUCUCAAGAAUACUCCAGGACCUUAGACCGUGCCGCUGUGUGAUGGUCCAUCGUCCUUAUCAACUUCUUGGGAUUCAGAAUACGCGUACAUUUGAGUGUUAUCUGUGGGGGGGCGUUUCUAAAGAGUUUUAACUGAGGUGGAAAGACCCCCCCUGCCAUCCUGCGGGGCCUGAGUCCCAUGUGCCAAAUAAAAAGAGGAAAUCGAA